GAAUAGGGAGGAGGCAAAGGACCAUCUUCAGGCUCUGCUCAUGGCAAAAAAAUCUCUCUUCUCCCUUUAAGCUUCCUCUUUUGCACCAGCUUCUCUGCUAAGCCUGUAUGUUUCAUCCCAUUUUUUCCUUCGUGUACUAAGCUGAUCAGUCAGACUCCAGUCCAGGGAGAAGUGGGCGUGAAGUUACCAGCAGUUCUGAGUGGCCAAGUAUAAAUCAGUGAAAGUAUCAAAAAGUCUGACUGUGGCCAGGUACUUAAUUUGUUGUCCCAGCUAGCCCAUCUUUAUAAUGCAAUUUUUCUGUCUGAGUUGAUGUUUUGCUCUCAAAAGUUGAUUCAAAACUGAGAAGGAAAGAAAAGGUGUCUGAUUAAACUCCAAUAUAUAUAACGAAUGUCUACUGAAUAACUGAUCCAGAAUGUCAGUAAUGAAAAAUAGAGAUAAUAUAUGCUGAAGAAGAUGUGGAGGGAAAAGGUGCAUUGCAAAUAAAAGUACUUGAACAUGAC